GAGGAGCAAAAGGAAGCCAAAAGGCGAGACAGAAAUUUCCGAGAGGAAGAGCAGCUGCUGAGCGUGGAAAGAGAGGAGAAAAUACGCCAUCAGAAAGAAGACAGAGAGUUUCCAAAGAGGAACAGAAACUGCGCCGGCCGGAACGCGAGCAACAGCUUCGCCGGGAGCGAGAUAGAAAAUUCCGCGAGGGGGAACAGCUCCGCCGGGAAAGGGAAGAACAGCUGCGCCGCCAGGAGCUAGAGGAUGCCUUCUCCCAGGAGGAACAACUUAGGCGCGCAGAGCCAGAGGAAGAACAGAGACGUCCGAGACAGAGAGACAGGAAGUUCCUAGAGGGAGAGCAGAGGCUCCGGCAGGAGCCAGAGUUAGAAAAGCGACGCGUCCAGUAGCAGGACAGUAAGUUCCUCGAGCAAGAAGAGCAGUGGCAGCGCGAGGGGCAGGAAGAGCUGAGGCGCCGGCAGAAGCGGGAGAAAAAACUCCGGAAAGAAGAACAGCUCCGCCGCCAGCAGCAGGAGGAGAAGAGCCGCAGCCAAGUCUGGGAGGAGGACGAGGGCCGUCGGCAGGUUCUGGAGCCCGGCAACCGUCAGUUUGCUAGUGCCACGGUGCGCUCCAGCCCUCUGUUAUGAGUACAUCCAAGAGCAGCGAUGUCAAUACCGCCUUUAAGAGAUGCUGCCAAAUCCCGACACCUGCCAAAGCUUCGAGCAAAGGAAAAUGAGAAACACUGAGUAUCAAAUGACUCUAAUGUUUCCGGUUGGGGGAAAACUCUCUAGUGUUAGAAUAUCUCUUUUUUACAAAAUCUUAAGCUACACUCUUUCAUGUACUUUGUACUCCUGCCUUUUAUUCUUCCUUAAGUAGUUCUUUACUGCAGGAUGUCUUUGCUCUUUGGUGCAGAUGUGGUGUGCAUUUUUUAAAAACAUAAAAGCCAUUUCAUUUCUUUAAGGAAUUUUGUUUGGGGAACACAUUCAUUUAUUGCUUUCAAAAGUAACAAGAAUAUUAUGUCGAUUUGAGAUUCAAAAGAAUGGGUCUGUUUUUUAAUUUGUUGAUCCAUCUUGUAGAGAGUUCAGAUAUUUUUGACGUUCAAGUUGGUAUUUGUUCUUGGGCCUAAAUUACAUUAAUAUUUACCUCCAAAUAGCUUGUCACUUUUUGUAGCAUAAUUAGCACAGAUUCUGCCAGGGGACUGAAUUUUUACAACAGUGCUUGAAUAGUGCAGGGGGAAUGGCUUCUCCAGAAAAACUCCCUGUGAAAUCAGCCCGUAACUGGAAGAAAUAUCUGUUAAGAAUAAGGUUUAGCUUGAAGACUUAGAAUUUGAAUUAGAUUUUUACACUUAACUCUAUAAGUAAUUAAAAUCUCAUGAAGCAAAAGCAAGGUGUUUCUCAAACAACUCCAAAGCUCAAACCUAAAACCAUGUCUGCUUGUAGUCUGUAGUGCUCAGUUCCUUUCCCCCAGUCUUCGAUGAGCUUGAGAAUAUUACUACCUUUGUUAAUUUUAGCUGAGAGGGGACCUGCUCAGGAUCCUGUAAACAUCUACCUUGCUCUAGAGCCAACCAGAGAUCACAGAGCAUUUUGGGGAAGGGAAGGGGGAAUGUUUGUGGACAGAGGGGCAUGUCCCUGGAGGCCCUUUGACAAGACCCAUCAGCCCACAAUCCUUUGAGGCCUAUUGAUACUACUUUGGAGACAUACUUGUUAAAAUAAUUGGACUGUGUAAAAAAUUAAUAAUAAAUGUUUUGGCAAACAAUU
rnacentral:lncRNA from 1 species